rnacentral:lncRNA from 1 species
GUGCACGCGAAGGUCCCACUCCAGGCGAGCGCAGGGGAGGACCCGGAGCCCAGGGAGGUGUCCGCGGACAUCUCUGACAUGGCGGCAACCUUCUUACUGGUCUGGACCCUGGGUACCUGGCUGAAGACUUUGGACUUUAACCUGGAGAUGAUGGAGAGUAUGCAGGAUAAAGUCCAUACCAAAUCCAACGCCUAGCAAAUGGAGAACAAGCCAAAACUAACAAGAUAAAAUGUAGCAGGAAAAAGUGCAAAGAGCUGAAGUGUGGAAUAAGUGGGAGAGGUCUGCCAUGCCCUAUCUGACCUUGCUGCCAUGAUCUUUAAGGCUGUGUGUCCUGGUUGGUGCAGCUACAAGAUGGCAGAAAUGCCUAAGUGAUGGUGUGGAACAGAGGAUCCCUCUUCUCACCAUUGUCUUGCAUGUUUCCUUGUGUGAACCACAAAUAAACUUUUGUUAUGUUAAGCUGCUG